CGCGGGGGGAGGAGGUGGCGGCCGCCGGCCUGGCUCACCGCGCCAGUCUGGGUCCCGCGGGAACCGCCGCGCCUCGCGCCGCACCCGCUCCGCUGUCCCGGGCCGUCGUACUCUCCGGGAGCCGCCCGGGGACCCCGAGGCGGGGUCGUUGAAGAGCCACCGGGGCCUCGGCUGAGGGAGUCCCCCUGGCCGGGGAACCUCAGAGUCUUUUAAAGUUGGGGAGUGAGACACCUGCACAAAAAUAACCCAGUUGUAACUUUCCGGCGCUCUCCCUGCCAGUAGCCCUUCGCCACCUUGCCUAAUCUAAUCUCAAUCCUUCUAGUUUUUCUUAGUAAGUGAAACUUGAUUCCUUAAUUCCCUGGCUAUUCACACGUUCUUCGUUCUUCGUUUGUUCCUGUGUUCAAAGACGGCCGCCUGGAUCCCAGGGAGGCGGAGUAAGGGGCUGUGAAGAGAUGACCAAGAUGACGCCAUUCUUGCCUUGAGCUAAAUCUGUGCAGUGAACUAAUGGUAUCCUGGUCAUUUGGCUGAUUAUGCUGUCUGGUUCUCUCGAUGAAGACCCCUGAAAAAAUGAAUAAACAAUAAUGAGCCUGUAAUAAAAGCUCUAAGAAAGUGA